GUAGUCCACGCCCUAAACGAUGAUUACUCGACAUUUGCGAUAUACAGUAAGUGUCUGAGCGAAAGCAUUAAGUAAUCCACCUGGGAAGUACGACCGCAAGGUUGAAACUCAAAGGAAUUGACGGGGGCCCGCACAAGCGGUGGAUUAUGUGGAUUAAUUCGAUGCAACGCGAAAAACCUUACCUGGCCUUGACAUGCCACUAACGAAGCAGAGAUGCAUUAGGUGCCCGAAAGGGAAAGUGGACACAGGUGCUGCAUGGCUGUCGUCAGCUCGUGUCGUGAGAUGUUGGGUUAAGUCCCGCAACGAGCGCAACCCUUGCCAAUAAUUGCCAUCAUUUAGUUGGGCACUUUAUUGGGACUGCCGGUGACAAACCGGAGGAAGGUGGGGAUGACGUCAAGUCCUCAUGGCCCUUAUGGCCAGGGCUUCACACGUAAUACAAUGGUCGGUACAGAGGGUUGCCAACCCGCGAGGGGGAGCCAAUCCCAGAAAGCCGAUCGUAGUCCGGAUUGUAGUCUGCAACUCGACUACAUGAAGUCGGAAUCGCUAGUAAUCGCGGAUCAGCAUGUCGCGGUGAAUA
rnacentral:rRNA from 1 species